rnacentral:tRNA from 1 species
GGUGGCUCAGUGGUAGAGUGCUUGCGUUGUAUGCAUGAAGCCCUGGGUUCGAUUCCUCAGCACCA